CUCUACUUCCUUCUAUUUUCACCGACGCUUUAUUUCUCUUCACGUCCAUCGAUCAAUCGUAUCUACAUCCGUAAUUUUUACUUUCCCGACUCUGGCGUUAAGUACAAAGGGCGGCGGUGCAACCAGAAAUUAUAAAUUCAACGGUUUAUAUUUUUUUUUCUGAAAUUUGAGAUGGAAGUAAUUAUCUUCGUGCGAGGGCACGUUCUGGUUUCUUCAUUCCUCGAAAGUAAUGCCAAGGUGUAUAUAUAAGAUGAAGAUGUAAAACAAUAUGUUGGCAACAGUGCAAAGAGGCGAGAGUCAACUGAAAUGCUGUCUCCAACCUAACUUCAAAUGUACAUGUGUACCAGUGGGCUCUGAGAAUACCUCUAACAAUUAUGCACGGCUCAAAUAAUCUUGUGCAUACUACCACACAUGCAUUGCGAUUCAUUUGAGGUGAAUGUACCUUUCAGAGACAUGAAAUAAAUUUCUGUAUACGUAA